rnacentral:rRNA from 1 species
AUUGAACGCUAGCGGGAUGCUUUACACAUGCAAGUCGAACGGCAGCGCGGACUUCGGUCUGGCGGCGAGUGGCGAACGGGUGAGUAAUGUAUCGGAACGUGCCCAGUAGCGGGGGAUAACUACGCGAAAGCGUAGCUAAUACCGCAUACGCCCUACGGGGGAAAGCAGGGGAUCGUAAGACCUUGCACUAUUGGAGCGGCCGAUAUCGGAUUAGCUAGUUGGUGAGGUAACGGCUCACCAAGGCGACGAUCCGUAGCUGGUUUGAGAGGACGACCAGCCACACUGGAACUGAGACACGGCCCAGACUCCUACGGGAGGCAGCAGUGGGGAAUUUUGGACAAUGGGGGCAACCCUGAUCCAGCAAUCCCGCGUGUGCGAUGAAGGCCUUCGGGUUGUAAAGCACUUUUGGCAGGAAAGAAAAGUCGCGGAAUAAUACCCCGUGGAACUGACGGUACCUGCAGAAUAAGCACCGGCUAACUACGUG